CCGCCAUCACAAACAAUAACCAUUCCUUUGUCCAAUUUAAUCGCAAAAAGAAAUCCCCAAAGUCCGACAAAUCCCUGAAAACAACGGAAAAAUUUUGUUUCAAUAGUUUGAGUAUUUGAAUGGUGUUGAUAUAAUUUGAAUAGUGAUAAUGUGAUUCGGUGUCUCAUCGUCUUAUCGUCAACCUCAAAAAUUCAAUUGGAAAGGAAUACACCACGUCUUGUCCACCUGGAGAUUACGAUUAAAACACUUCUUUCAUCGCUACAAGUGCAAUAACUAACAUUAAUGGACGCAUGUGGCAUCCAGAGUAUCGUAAGUAAUUGGAUAAUCACAGAGAAACUUCAUCGCCAUUUUACGACGCGAAUAAUACCCUGGCUGGUAGUGUCGUAAAAUCCCAUGAGGACCGUGGACGGAGGCAACCAAGUACACAUCGCACUGAGAAUACGAGGAAUACGUCAUGAGAGAAUGCAGUCGAUUUAUCGUCAAUUCCGACAAAACCAGUAAAAUCUGGGAGAUAGGCUGGAACAACAACUACGUAAUUGGACAUGAUACAAGAAACUAUGAGCUGUCAUUAUUCUCCAAUGUCGAGAGUCAUGGAGAGUUAAAUGUGUGCACUGUAGUCAUUCCUUUGUUGGUGACGUCUCCUUCUCAGUCCUUGUAUCCAAUGACACGAAGUGCCUAUUUCGCAGUGAAUAUACAUUCUCAUCCUUUCACUGUCACUUUUGCCAACUUUUUGUCACCACUAUCAAUCUUUUUCAAAUUCAUUGAUCAUUGAUAUCGAUGAUUAAUUCAAACUCUCCAACAAGGCGUCAAUUAUCUCGCAUGAAUUUCCACGGACCAAUUGUUAUUUACCGAUGUAAAUGCAACGUCCGUAACUUUGUCAAGGUUAUUUUAUAUAACAACAAAUUAACUGCACAUAAGAGGAUGAGCGUUAU